GACGAACGCUGGCGGCGUGCCUAAUACAUGCAAGUCGAGCGGACUUUCAAGAAGCUUGCUUUUUGAAAGUUAGCGGCGGACGGGUGAAUAACACGUGGGCAACCUGCCUGUAAGACGGGGAUAACUCCGGGAAACCGGGGCUAAUACCGGAUAAUAUCUUUCUUCGCAUGAAGGAAGGUUGAAAGGCGGCGCAAGCUGCCGCUUGCAGAUGGGCCCGCGGCGCAUUAGCUAGUUGGUGAGGUAACGGCUCACCAAGGCGACGAUGCGUAGGCGACCUGAGAGGGUGAUAGGCCACACUGGGACUGAGACACGGCCCAGACUCCUACGGGAGGCAGCAGUAGGGAAUCUUCCGCAAUGGACGAAAGUCUGACGGAGCAACGCCGCGUGAGCGAAGAAGGUCUUCGGAUCGUAAAGCUCUGUUGUCAGGGAAGAACAAGUACCGUUCGAAUAGGGCGGUACCUUGACGGUACCUGACCAGAAAGCCACGGCUAACUACGUGCCAGCCGCCGCAGUAA
rnacentral:rRNA from 1 species